CUGAAGUAGCCCACUUGAGCGUUGAUACUCUACCUUGACCUGCUGAUAUACCAAACACUUAGAAACAAAGUCAGUCACAUCUUUUUUUCAUCAUAUUCCACCAAAAUCGGAAUCACAUACUUUGAUACAUCUUGGUGCUUCCGGGAUGCAUGAAAAACUUUGAGCUACGGAUCUCUGUCAUAAUAUCCCUUUUCAACUCACUAUUAUCUGGAACACACACCCUGUCCUGAAAUCUAAGCAACCCAUCGGUAGAGAUUCGAAAUUCUCAAUUAACUCCCUAUUCUACAUCUUUCUUGAGGGCUGCUAAGGUGGAAUCGGCAGAUUGGGUUUCUUUUAUUCUUUGGAUCAACUCAAGUUGAACAAUCAGGUGGGUUAAACAUGUGACUCUCUUCAGGUCCUGAAGUCAUACCGUUGUGCUGCCUCUAUUACUUUGUAUUAUGAAACCAUCAAGUGAACUAAUAUACCUGCACUUUUCCUGCUAAGUGCGUUAGCUACCACGUUACCCUUACCUAGGUGAUAUAAGAUAUUACAAUCAUAGUCAUUUAGGAGUUC
rnacentral:lncRNA from 1 species